rnacentral:rRNA from 1 species
UAGUGGAGUGAUCUGUCUGGUUGAUUCCGAUAACGAACGAGAUUUUAUCCUUCUUAAUAGACUGCACCUUUUUAGGUGUAUUCUUCUUAGAGGAACUAUGGGGAAGUAUCUACCGUAAGGAAGUUGGGUCAUAACA